AAGUCGUAACAAGGUUUCCGUAGGUGAACCUGCGGAAGGAUCAUUAUCACGUAUCCACGUAUAAACCAUUGUGAACUGUCAAAACCUUUGGAAGAAUCAGAAUGAAAACGAACGAUUUAAAGGUCCUUUUGUAAUUUAAGACCCAGUUCGGUUUCGUGCUAGCGGGCAACCGCCGGCUAUGGUUAUUCUAAAGUGUAUUUAAAUUACAUUUGAUUAACAAUUUGAACAACCUUUUAAACUUUGAACUAAAUUGUUUCUUACUCUUAACGGAGAAGAAAUUCAUUACGAAACAAAGAACAA
rnacentral:misc_RNA from 1 species